GCGAGCGUAGCUCAGCCUGGUAGAGCGCAACCUUGCCAAGGUUGAUGUCGAGGGUUCGAAUCCCUUCGCUCGCUCCA
rnacentral:tRNA from 1 species